GUCAUUUGUACAAAGAGUCAGCUCAUCCAUAACUCUGUGAAGACCAUUGAUGUCCGCCUCAACACUCUGGUGCAGAGCAAGCUCAUUUUCAUACCUAAAAGGUUGUUAAAAUGCUUUGAGAACUACAAUCGUAGAGUUUAUUUUUGGCAUCCCAUGUGCUUACCAGAAGAAAAUUACUCUUUAAAAUUUAUGUUAACUUUACCCUAAAUGCCCAUCAGCAGAGAAAUAGAUAAAGAAGAUGUGGUACAUAUAUAUGAUGGAAUAUUAUUCAUCCAUUAAAAAGAAUGAAAUAAUGCCAUCUGCAGCAACAUGGAUGGACCUAGACAUUAUCAUACUGAGUAAAGUUAUGCACACCCAAAGUCUGUAGUAAAAGUAUCCAUCUUUCUUACCUGCCUUUUGAGAUCUUCAGUGACUGAGAAAUAUUUACUAUAGUCAUGAGCAAGUUGCCGGCCAGAACCAGGC